GACGAACGCUGGCGGCGUGCUUAACACAUGCAAGUCGAACGGAAAGGCCCUGCUUUUGUGGGGUGCUCGAGUGGCGAACGGGUGAGUAACACGUGAGUAACCUGCCCUUGACUUUGGGAAAACUUCAGGAAACUGGGGCUAAUACCGGAUAGGAGCUCCUGCUGCAUGGUGGGGGUUGGAAAGUUUCGGCGGUUGGGGAUGGACUCGCGGCUUAUCAGCUUGUUGGUGGGGUAGUGGCUUACCAAGGCUUUGACGGGUAGCCGGCCUGAGAGGGUGACCGGCCACAUUGGGACUGAGAUACGGCCCAGACUCCUACGGGAGGCAGCAGUGGGGAAUAUUGCACAAUGGGCGGAAGCCUGAUGCAGCAACGCCGCGUGCGGGAUGACGGCCUUCGGGUUGUAAACCGCUUUCGCCUGUGACGAAGCGUGAGUGACGGUAAUGGGUAAAGAAGCACCGGCUAACUACGUGCCAGCAGCCGCGGUGAUACGUAGGGUGCGAGCGUUGUCCGGAUUUAUUGGGCGUAAAGGGCUCGUAGGUGGUUGAUCGCGUCGGAAGUGUAAUCUUGGGGCUUAACCCUGAGCGUGCUUUCGAUACGGGUUGACUUGAGGAAGGUAGGGGAGAAUGGAAUUCCUGGUGGAGCGGUGGAAUGCGCAGAUAUCAGGAGGAACACCAGUGGCGAAGGCGGUUCUCUGGGCCUUUCCUGACGCUGAGGAGCGAAAGCGUGGGGAGCGAACAGGCUUAGAUACCCUGGUAGUCCACGCUGUAAACGGUGGGUACUAGGUGUGGGGUCCAUUCCACGGGUUCCGUGCCGUAGCUAACGCUUUAAGUACCCCGCCUGGGGAGUACGGCCGCAAGGCUAAAACUCAAAGGAAUUGACGGGGCCCCGCACAAGCGGCGGAGCAUGCGGAUUAAUUCGAUGCAACGCGUAGAACCUUACCUGGGUUUGACAUGGAUCGGGAGUGCUCAGAGAUGGGUGUGCCUCUUUUGGGGUCGGUUCACAGGUGGUGCAUGGCUGUCGUCAGCUCGUGCCGUGAGAUGUUGGGUUAAGUCCCGCAACGAGCGCAACCCUUGUUCACUGUUGCCAGCACGUUAUGGUGGGGACUCAGUGGAGACCGCCGGGGUCAACUCGGAGGAAGGUGGGGAUGACGUCAAGUCAUCAUGCCCCUUAUGUCCAGGGCUUCACGCAUGCUACAAUGGCUGGUACAGAGAGUGGCGAGCCUGUGAGGGUGAGCGAAUCUCGGAAAGCCGGUCUCAGUUCGGAUUGGGGUCUGCAACUCGACCUCAUGAAGUCGGAGUCGCUAGUAAUCGCAGAUCAGCAACGCUGCGGUGAAUACGUUCCCGGGGCU
rnacentral:rRNA from 1 species